UGGAUGGAGAAAAACUAUGCAGAAUAGAGGAGGCAUCCAUUGCUAUUUAAGUAUAGCUAUUGAGAGAAAAAAGGACGUGUUUUGAAAACUAGCCGGGUCCAAUUUUAGGCAUGUCAAAAUGCUCCGACUGACUUUCCAGUAGUCUAUUAUACUCAUCAAUCCUGUCUUUAUGUGUUUUCAAUCGCUCAUUCUUUGCUUUCUGAAGUAAUCUUUGUUCCUGAACAGACUCAAAAUGUUUCUGUGCUUCCGUCAUCGGCAUAGCCGAGUCUGUAUCCUUUGAGCGAAGCAUUUGGUACGUAGAUACGCCAUUUUCUUCUAAAGGUGAUUUAUCUCGGGAAGAAUGCUCUUGAACUUUUUCAGCAAGUUUUUUAGAAUCCUUCUUUUUCUUUUUCAAAGGUUUUUUUUUUACAUUUUUCAGUUUUAGAGAACCACCAACGUAGUCCAUAGUUCUUGGUAAAGGUAAGUUGGUGUAAGCAAAAUGUUUGAACUGUACGAUAAGAGGUGAAACAGUUUAAUACAUUUUACACUAGGA